AUGCUUUUUUAAGGUGUUUUGGUGCAUCGGCCCUUCGAAGUCUACGUAAUUAUUCGUAGGCUUUUUUUAUAGGCCGCCUAUUAAUCGGGUUUUCUGGCUCUUCUAUCGUCUGCUGUGGGGCGAUAACAGUGUCAUGUCAACUUUAACGAGCUUAGUUAGAGCUGCCGGCAGGUGCUUCAACGUGAUAUACAAGGGCCUAUCAGCACAGACUGGCCAACUGCUACAGCCCUUAGCUGUAUCAGCAGAGUUACAGCAAGUGAGAAAUAGAGUGCAUUGCUUUUUUCCACGUCCAAGCGAGCACAAGAGAAUAGCCAAGUUUGGCUUCAAGAAGCGCAUCUCGACUAAAAAUGGGAGAAAAGUACUUUUUCGCCGUAUGCUGAAAGGGAGACACGUGUUGUCCCAUUGACAGUUUGUGCCACCAUGCAUUAGAGUAGUAUUGUAUUAGUCGCCAGUAAACUACAUGUUUUGUAUGCA
rnacentral:lncRNA from 1 species